rnacentral:rRNA from 1 species
GACGAACGCUGGCGGCGUGCUUAACACAUGCAAGUCGAACGGUAAGGCCCCUUCGGGGGUACACGAGUGGCGCACGGGUGCGUAACACGUGGGUGAUCUGCCCUGCACUUCGGGAUAAGCCUGGGAAACUGGGUCUAAUACCGGAUAGGACCACGCUCUGCAUGGAGUGUGGUGGAAAGCUUUUGCGGUGUGGGAUGGGCCCGCGGCCUAUCAGCUUGUUGGUGGGGUGAUGGCCUACCAAGGCGACGACGGGUAGCCGGCCUGAGAGGGUGUCCGGCCACACUGGGACUGAGAUACGGCCCAGACUCCUACGGGAGGCAGCAGUGGGGAAUAUUGCACAAUGGGCGCAAGCCUGAUGCAGCGACGCCGCGUGGGGGAUGACGGCCUUCGGGUUGUAAACCUCUUUCAGUACCGACGAAGCGCAAGUGACGGUAGGUACAGAAGAAGCACCGGCCAACUACGU